rnacentral:tRNA from 1 species
UCCCUAUUAGUGUAAAGGCAGCACACGGGUCUUUGGAACCUUUGGAGGUGGUUCGAAUCCAUCAUAGGGAG